UCCGCAGUAGCACAGUCGGUAGUGCGCCGCCCUGUUAAGGCGAGGGUCGCUGGUUCGAGCCCAGCCUGCGGAGCCA
rnacentral:tRNA from 1 species